UUCCCCGCGCCGCGCGUCCUAAAAUAUACCAUACCAGGAGAGCCGCCGCCGCCGCCUCUUCCUCUUCGAUCCCCCAAUCCCCACUUCCCCGUCUCCUUCACCCCUCCCCCCCAAAAUCCUCCUAAAUUGCCAGUCUGCGCACCUGCCGGCGGAACCCUAGCUCUGGAGCGACUGCCAGAUCAGGACGGCUGAAUCGGCGGCUCCUUCCCUGGCGCCGCGCUUCGGAGGCUUGCGCCGCUCGGCGCGUCCCCCGCCCGCAUCUUUCCUCCGUCUACACCUUCAGGAUUCGCGCCGCUCCCCCCCGAGGGCUUUGGAGGUGGAGGCUUGCUGUUGCUGCCCUCCUCUUCACCGCCGUGCCUGUGCGUGCACAUGAGUCUGAUAUGCUUGGUCAAGUUUAGUGCAGCCGCCCCCUGUUAAUACCAUUUUCUCUGAUGCACGGUGGUCGGCCGGUAGUCACCUCUACCUUCUGCCGCAGUGUAUCCAGGCAUCGAGCACUCUAUGGAAGCAUCCAAUCUCGCCGCUCUGCCAACUUCGCCUGAACGCUGACUGCCAAUGCUCCAUAUACCGUCAUAUAAUCUUGCCAUUCUACCUACUUCGCUGGAACACCGACCGCCGCUCCAUCUGAGUUACAAAUUAAAUUCAACAUGUCAGUUGAGGAAGCUGCUGAGUUAGCAUGGCAGGCUAUUUAUCAUGCAACAUUCCUUAACGGAGCUAGUGAUGAUACAAGAAGAUUUAUGAUCUUGUUAAGGAGCAUGUUGAGAGGUCUGAAGGAGGAGGGGCAGGGUUGGAAGCAAUGAAUGUAAUAUAAAUACUUGCACUGCACUAUAUGAUUUUUCAUGUGCAAAAUAGAAUCACCCUGAGUGUAGCUUUUGAUUUACUCAGGUCGAGAUGGGCAGCUGCAAAUUCACUGGUUCACUGACCUAAAUUAUUUCUAUCUUCACUAUUUAUUGGUUUACUGAACUAAAUCUUUCUACUCAGGUUCAUUUGUGUAUCACCUUUGUUUUGAAAAAAAAAAAAUGCAAGCUUUAUCAUGUUUGUCAUUAAUAGAUCAAUGAAGCAACAAAAUAUUGGUUGGACCAAUUCCCGAUAGCCGUCUUCUUUAACCUGCUUCAGAAUCAGAAUCAGGAAAGACUGGGCUGGAGAAUCAGGAAGGUCCAUGAUAUUUAAGUAGGCAAGAAUCCCAUUGUAUUCUUCCCUGGAAAGUCACUAUCCCUGUGACAAAUAGUAUGCCUUGCGUUUUUUUUUCUGAACAUCUAUCUCCAGAUAAAGCUUUUUUUCUGAACUGGCUUCGACGAGGUGGAACUCAAGGGCUAUACGGCAGUCAUCCACGUCAGUGUGUACCAGACAAUCGAAGUAUGCCAAUACUGGAACGGGAGAUUGGAGCAAAACUAUCAGAAAUCAGGUUGGAUUACCCACCCCUUAACAAAGAAGUCAUACAGGAUGUAAGAAAUCUAUGGGAGGAUCCAUCCAUCCAGGAAACUUACUUGUGGAAGUGUGCUGCAAGUUCCUGACUGUGCAGAGUACUUCAUGGAGAAUCCGGACCGAUUAGCUGAAGCAGAUUACGUACCAACAAAGGAGCACAUGAGGCGAGGGAGGGCAUGGCCGAACUGGAGGUUGUUUCAUGGCGAGGGCAAGCUAGGGCAGAGACAUGCAACGACGAGAGUUGCAACCGUCAGGGGACAUCAUCACCUUAUAAAAUGCCCACUCACAAUGGCUAGAUGCUGCUCUUUUCCUCUCCAUUGUCAUUGACGCAAUUACAGUUGCAGAUUUAAGCCUCUUUGAUCCUCUCCUGUAAUCUGGCAAUGAUAUCAGCACAUAAAUUCAUUCAGUUCUUCCAGCGUGCAUAGCAUUCAACUCUCUGUGCAGGUUGUUCACCAGUGAUCUAGUUUGCUAAAAGGCAUAUUAUUUGUUUCAGACCUGGAAUUGCUUAUGUGCUGGCAAAACAUGAUAAGCAGGAAUUGAACCUCACCCAUUCAUCAACGAAUUUAUUCCAUCUGUCAAAGGGAUGAUGACAUCUAUGCCUAUUGUUUCCUGAUAAAAAAUCUUCGAGGUACGCCUCACAGGGCACUGAUUCAAGGUACACCCAACGUCAUCUAUGAUCAGAGGAAAAAUUUCUGUAUGGACUCCAUGAAACCGAGGUGGUAUGUAACUACUAUAUAUCAUAGGCUUCUAUGUUCGACAAGCUUUGGUAAUGAUAUGAGAUGGUCACUUUCAUUGAGUUUGUUCAGAAGGGGUGUGGAUCUAUUAUGUUUAAUUUUGCCCCAUGACGUAUUCUUGCAAAUCCCAGGAACUGAUCAGAUUAAUAGAGAAGUAUGAUGUCCAGUUGUAUGGAAAUAUUUCAUACAUUCAGGACUACAGUCAUGGGAAGAUUGUUUCUAGAGGAUCAAUGAAGAUUUAAUGAACUUUGCAUAAUUUUUAUUGUCUAGCAUUUGACCUUUGUUAUGUUGCAACCUACAGUAUGGACAGGAUACUGAAAGUAGUUUCUCGGAUAUUUAAACAAAUGACGAUGACAUAAAUUCUUUUGAUGCUUUCUCUAGGAAGGUAGGUAUAUUUGAACAAAUCAUCAGCAAAGCAUCUGCCCUCCCAUCCAGUCCGACUGAAGAGAUGAAACAAAGGGAAAAACUCUUCAGGAGGUGGUAUAUUUCAUCAUUUUAGCAGCAUUAGAGGCAGGACAUGUAUAAGAAGACAUAAGAAGCAGCUAAUUGCAAGCACUUCUAUUCUAUGGGAUUUGUAGAGACACUACACGCAGAAAACUAAAUCGAAUAUGUGGACAACAACUAAGAGUCAAAUACGUCAAUUUAGAACGGAAUACAUGGAUGCAUUUUGUACUAUUUACUUUAUUAUCUUGGUUAUUCACAUCAAUGUAUUCAUUUUCUAAGCUUACUGCAGUAUAUUCAGAACAAGGGAAAGAGCAGAUUACCGCAGUGUAUUCAGGAGAAGGAAAACGGCAGUUGUCCAACUUUUCUCCAGGUUAUCUAUGCCUAAUGCUUUGAGCAAAAGGAAUUGGUACUCACUUUGGCAAACAGAGAGAAAGGAAUAUGUUUUUUUGUUGCUAUUGGAGCUCCAUCACUCACUGUCAAGUAUUGCGAGCAAGCAACUGAAGCAAGUACAGUGGCCAAUAAUGCAUAUAUGAAGAUUGAUUUACAACAACAGCUCCAACAUUUGUACAUAAUCUUUCAUAUUGUGUCUCUUUUCGAAUCCCUGUUAGUGUGUUUAUAUACAUUAAUAUUCAUGCGAGUCAAACGAGAUUACUUAUGUCAUAUCAAGAUGUGUCCAUUGCAGUUUUCUCA